rnacentral:rRNA from 1 species
AUGGACGCUGUCCAGUCUUCGUCGCCUUACUCGCCGCCAUCGCUGCGCCACAAGCUGCGGACCACCGUCUGCGGCUGCUUCGGCUCCCCGUCGUCGCCGGGAAGCAGCGGGGAGAGGCCGCACACCGGGGGCGGCAGGGCCAGGUGGAGGCGGCGCGUGGCGGCCGCAGGGGAGUUCAGGUACGACCCGCUCAGCUACGCGCUCAACUUCGAUGAUGGCGGCUGCGACGACGGCGACGCCGACGCAGAGGACGCCGCCUUCCGGCACAGAAACUUCAACUCGCGCCUGCCUCCCUCGCCGGUGCCGGCCUCCCGAGCCGUCGCCAUCGCCUGA